CGCGUAGGCGGACUGUCAAGUCAGUCGUGAAAUACCGGGGCUUAACCCCGGGGUUGCGAUUGAAACUGACAGCCUUGAGUAUCGGAGAGGAAAGCGGAAUUCCUAGUGUAGCGGUGAAAUGCGUAGAUAUUAGGAAGAACACCAGUGGCGAAGGCGGCUUACUGGACGGUAACUGACGUUGAGGCUCGAAAGCGUGGGGAGCAAACA
rnacentral:rRNA from 1 species